GUGUUCACUUCGGCAGCACAUAUACUAAAAUUAGAAGGAAACAGAGAUUAGCAUGGCCCCUGUGCAAGGACGACACGUAAAUUUGUGAAGCAUUCCAUAUUUUU
ensembl:snRNA U6 U6 spliceosomal RNA